rnacentral:lncRNA from 1 species
GCCUCAGACCGACGGCCCCCUCCCAGCGGCGGUGCCGAGCCCUCAGGCCGCUGCGGGCACCAGCCUCGGCGAGGGCAACGCGCCCGAGGGGUCCCCGGCGGGGCAACACCGCCCGCCCCGAGCCCCGGCUCCCCCAAACCCCCCCUCCCAGGGCCCGGCACCCCUCAGGACUCCCCGCCGGGCCGGUGCCGAGCCCCCCGCUGUGCCCCGGCCCCGCCGUGCGCCCCCUGCCCCCGCCGGCCCGGCCUCACCUCCGCGGGCGUCCCGGCAACCUCCCGCCCCCCCGCGCAGCGCCGCCGCCAUCUUAGGGCUGCGAGGGCCCGGCUACGGGCAGCGCGGAGGCUCAAACGGCGCCGCCCGGGCGCUGCCAGAGCCCCGGGCCCGGCCCCGGCCCGUGGGAGGGGUGCGGCGCUCCCUGGAGGCCGGGGCGAGGUGUUCGUGGAGGAACGGGCACCUCCGCCGCUCUCCCCGCCGUUAGAGGGGCCGGAGCUGGGGGUGCUGCGUUCCCACCCGCAGCCCCCGCCGUCCCACGCAGGGAGAGUUCAGCAGUGGGUUGAUAGGAGGGAAAGCACGUCCUCCCCUACACACACACACACACACAAAAUGGAAGGCUGGUGGGGUGGAAGGAGGGAAAGCAAACAGACACGCGCCCGGAGUCAGCCUGCAGGUGCUUGGGACACACAAGAGGGAAGGCAGUGUGGAAAUGAGGAGGGAUGCCUCCCAUCCUUCACCAGCAGCACCAUUCUGCAAGGCCACAGGACGCAGAUCCCAGCCAGACUCGUACCUCCCAAACAAAAGCUGCCUCCCCCUGCUUUAUACAAAAUGCAAUCUGCGUUUCAUUCACAGCACUGCCUUGGCAAGCGCAGCCAGGUGGGUGGGAGGAGGAAGCUCAUAGACCUUAACAGGGCCAUUGCUUACACAGGCACAUCAGGGGUAGCUGAGCUGGAAGUGCAGACAGCCGCCACACAGCGGCUCCUUGAACUGCCAGAGGGCUGGCUUCCUGCAGGUUUAUGGCCCUCCUUCCUGGAAUCCCUUCACCGUGGGUAA